AAUCUGUCGGGGAUCGUCAGCGGAAUAUAGGUUAACCACACAUGAAACUCAAACAGAAAAGAUCCCAACAGGGAAAAGGUUUAUAGUAACAUCAUAAUAAGGCAUUUGUGAUUAUCUUUAAGGAAUAUCAGAGGCACAGAUAUUAUACAUCUCUUUGAAGAUCCAAAAAGCCUAUAGAAGUAUAUCUGUACGAGCAACUCUUUCGGAGGAGUCGUUUUCCAUGUCGUUUAUUGUAGUUGCUGACAGGUAUGCAAUAUAUUACUAUCAAGUAUUACCCUCUGCGAAAAAAAA